rnacentral:rRNA from 1 species
GACGAACGCUGGCGGCGUGCCUAAUACAUGCAAGUAGAACGCUGAAGAGAGGAGCUUGCUCUUCUUGGAUGAGUUGCGAACGGGUGAGUAACGCGUAGGUAACCUGCCUGGUAGCGGGGGAUAACUAUUGGAAACGAUAGCUAAUACCGCAUAAAAUGGAUUAUCGCAUGAUAAUCCAUUGAAAGGUGCAAAUGCAUCACUACCAGAUGGACCUGCGUUGUAUUAGCUAGUUGGUGGGGUAACGGCUCACCAAGGCGACGAUACAUAGCCGACCUGAGAGGGUGAUCGGCCACACUGGGACUGAGACACGGCCCAGACUCCUACGGGAGGCAGCAGUAGGGAAUCUUCGGCAAUGGACGGAAGUCUGACCGAGCAACGCCGCGUGAGUGAAGAAGGUUUUCGGAUCGUAAAGCUCUGUUGUAAGAGAAGAACGAGUGUGAGAGUGGAAAGUUCACACUGUGACGGUAUCUCACCAGAAAGGGACGGCUAACUACGUG